rnacentral:rRNA from 1 species
AUUGAACGCUGGCGGCAGGCCUAACACAUGCAAGUCGAGCGGAUGAAGGGAGCUUGCUCCUGGAUUCAGCGGCGGACGGGUGAGUAAUGCCUAGGAAUCUGCCUGGUAGUGGGGGAUAACGUCCGGAAACGGGCGCUAAUACCGCAUACGUCCUUAGGGAGAAAGUGGGGGAUCUUCGGACCUCACGCUAUCAGAUGAGCCUAGGUCGGAUUAGCUAGUUGGUGGGGUAAAGGCCCACCAAGGCGACGAUCCGUAACUGGUCUGAGAGGAUGAUCAGUCACACUGGAACUGAGACACGGUCCAGACUCCUACGGGAGGCAGCAGUGGGGAAUAUUGGACAAUGGGCGAAAGCCUGAUACAGCCAUGCCGCGUGUGUGAAGAAGGUCUUCGGAUUGUAAAGCACUUUAAGUUGGGAGGAAGGGCAGUAAGUUAAUACCUUGCUGUUUUGACGUUACCAACAGAAUAAGCACCGGCUAACUUCGUG